rnacentral:lncRNA from 1 species
AAGCCAGUGAGACCACGAGCCCACCUGGAGGAAGGAACAACUCCAGAGGCCCUGCCUUAAGAGCUGUAACACUCACCGCGAAGGUCUGCAGCUUCACUCCUGAAGCCAGCGAGACCACGAGCCCACCUGGAGGAACAAACAACUCCAGAGGCGCCGCCUUAAGAGCUGUAACACUCACCGCGAAGGUCUGCAGCUUCACUCCUGAGCCAGCGAGACCACGAACCCACCAGAAGGAAGAAACUCCGAAAACAUCUUAACAUCAGAAGGAACAAAUUCCAGACGCGCCAUCUUAAGAGCUGUAACACUCACCGCGAGGGGCGUGGCUUCAUGCUUGAAGUCAGUGAGACCAAGAACCCACCAAUUCUGGACACAUUAUGACCUUUGUUUCCUGCCAUGGAAGAAAAUUUAAAUUCCCAGGCUGAAGAAGCAAAUUAGGCCUCUCAAGCAGAAACCAACAGUGUAUCACAAACUCAUGAAAAAUUUCAUAGAUGUCUCAGAAGAAGCAGUGAAAAAUAUUGGUUCUGAGAAGCAAUCAUCAGCCAUUUCAUCCUCAAGCAAACUUUAUUCAAGAAAGAAUAACCAUUUCAGCUUGUCUAAAUAUCAGCUCACCUUUUCACAUUGUUUACCUUAAUGACAAAAGAACCCUGAGAACACUGAAAAUUUUUCCCGGAAAAGACGUCAGUGCCAGAUAUCUGCAAUUAAAUACUGAUAAUUUCACUGGCAGUUCAAGCAGUUUAAUGAAGUUUUAGAUAUCAAAAUAACUCACAAGUGAGCAUGUGU